rnacentral:rRNA from 1 species
UACGUAGGUGGCAAGCGUUGUCCGGAUUUAUUGGGCGUAAAGAGCGCGCAGGCGGUUCGUUAAGUCCGAGGUGAAAUCUCCCGGCUCAACUGGGAUAGGUCUUCGGAUACUGGCGGACUUGAGGAGAGCAGAGGUGAGUGGAAUUCUCGGUGUAGUGGUGAAAUGCGUAGAUAUCGAGAGGAACACCAGUGGCGAAGGCGGCUCACUGGGCUCCACCUGACGCUGAGGCGCGAAAGCGUGGGGAGCGAACCGG